UAGCUCUAUAUCCACCUCUAAAAU
rnacentral:snRNA from 1 species